rnacentral:rRNA from 1 species
UCCUACGGGUGGCUGCAGUCGGGAAUUUUGCCCAAUGGACGAAAGUCUGAGGCAGCAACUCCGCGUGAGGGAUGAAGGCUCUAGGGUCGUAAACCUCUUUUCUCAGGGAAGAUCCAAGACGGUACCUGAGGAAUAAGCCACGGCUAACUACGUGCCAGCAGCCGCGGUAAUACGUAGGUGGCAAGCGUUGUCCGGAUUUACUGGGCGUAAAGAGCGCGCAGGCGGCUGGCCAAGUCCGAUGUGAAAUCUUCCGGCUUAACUGGGAAACUGCAUCGGAAACUGGUCGGCUUGAAGGUGGGAGAGGGUAGUGGAAUUCCCGGUGUAGUGGUGAAAUGCGUAGAUAUCGGGGGGAACACCAGUGGCGAAGGCGACUACCUGGCCCAUUCUUGACGCUGAGGCGCGAAAGCUAGGGGAGCGAACGGGAUUAGAUACCCGGGUAGUCGA